GGAGCAUGCUGGGAGCCGAGAAAAAGAGGAAGAGAGCGCAAAGCAAGGAAUCGACAAUACCGAGGUGGAGGAGCAGCAGGUUGUUGGCAGUCUGGACCUGCAACAAGAGAGCAACGACAGCUGAAAAAUCACGGGUCUUGUGUGAUAACUGUACUAUGAGGGCUGCCAACACCGGUACUGAAACGCGGGUACAGACGUCCUAUCUUUUCUUGCAAAUGGAGAAAGAAUGGAUGUGUGUACCUGCUUCGUGAGGACCACAACGAGCAGAAUAUACCCGUUGAGUAGCAGGCCCAGGACUGUGACCAUGAUGAGAGGCACUCCGAGGGCAAGCGAGGUCAUCACCACUCAAGUUCCAGCGACGGGCAGCGCGUCACGGCGACUCAUUGCACCUCCUGCAACACAAGCGGUCCACAGUUUCUCAAGGAAAUUCCUGUACUUCCAAAUCGAUCUCUUCACCCAUCACAAACAUGGCAACAAAGCGAAUAUUUUGAAUCGGCAAAAUUUUAAGUAACAGUAGUAGAUAUGUGUAGAAAUUAUCCACGAAACCAAAUCAUUUUCAAUUUAUAAUUCAUAACAAACUUUACUAUUUAGUCUGAACAAUUUUAAGGGAAGCAGAUGGCAUUACAUUUGUAUAUAGGUUUAUUUAGUUAUUUAUAGUUUAUUUAACGAUGCUUUUCCAGUAGUACAGCCUAUAAAUCGUCGACAGACUUUAUUAGACAAUGACGAUGACUUUGAUCUUUUUAAAAAAAUGUUUGUGUCCAUGUUUAGCCGUCAGAGCAAGAACAUCUACUAUAAAAUCAACAUACUAAUUUGUAUAAAAUGUUGUAAGUUCAAAUAUAUAGGAAAGACAAUAACAAAUAAAAAUUACGUCGACGAAGAUGUUCAAAAAGAAAUUUUUUUUGGAAAAUUCUUCAUGUAACAGAAAGUACGAAACGGGAACAUAGGGAAAGUCACGUGGUAAAUAAAUAAAUGAUUGCCCUGA